rnacentral:rRNA from 1 species
CCUACGGGAGGCAGCAGUGGGGAAUAUUGCACAAUGGGGGAAACCCUGAUGCAGCGACGCCGCGUGAGUGAUGAAGUAUUUCGGUAUGUAAAACUCUAUCAGCAGGGAAGAUAAUGACGGUACCUGACUAAGAAGCACCGGCUAAAUACGUGCCAGCAGCCGCGGUAAUACGUAUGGUGCAAGCGUUAUCCGGAUUUACUGGGUGUAAAGGGUGCGUAGGUGGUAUGGCAAGUCAGAAGUGAAAGGCUGGGGCUCAACCCCGGGACUGCUUUUGAAACUGUCAAACUAGAGUACAGGAGAGGAAAGCGGAAUUCCUAGUGUAGCGGUGAAAUGCGUAGAUAUUAGGAGGAACACCAGUGGCGAAGGCGGCUUUCUGGACUGAAACUGACACUGAGGCACGAAAGCGUGGGGAGCAAACAGGAUU